CAGUCGCCGCGGGAAUACGAAGGGUGCAAGCGUUAAUCGGAAUUACUGGGCGUAAAGCGUGCGUAGGCGGUGAGUUAAGUCUGCUGUGAAAUCCCCGGGCUCAACCUGGGAAUUGCAGUGGAUACUGGGUCACUAGAGUGUGGUAGAGGAUAGUGGAAUUUCCGGUGUAGCAGUGAAAUGCGUAGAGAUCGGAAGGAACAUCUGUGGCGAAGGCGACUAUCUGGGCCAACACUGACACUGAGGCACGAAAGCGUGGGGAGCAAACAGGAUUAGAUACCCGUGUAGUCCCUGUCUCUUAUAC
rnacentral:rRNA from 1 species